UUCAUUUCUGGACAACAACAUGGGGCCUGGAUCUCCAAUACUCUACAUAGAUGUGAUCUAUCAUGUGCCUCAUUUGCAAGAAUGGAAAAGAAAAACAGUUUACUGCACAAAUCUGAGUGCGAUAUGGCUCCAUCUUUUUAACAUACUCAAAGAAAAUUUAUAGGACUGAAAUUCAGCACAACCAGAAAGUGUCAAUCACUCACACAAUUAGGCAAUAAUGAAAACAUUUACCAGAACAAUAGGGUCAUUGGAUGUACAGAAAGGGUUGACUUCAUAAUGUUUUUGAAAGUUCAGUGCCCGUCUCCAUGGUAAGGGAACAUAAAGGAAUUAUUUCAGUUUGAAGCUGAAAAGAAUUAACUUAAGAACCAUGAACCUGCAUAUAUAAGAAACAAAAUUAUGAAGCCGGACAGGUAAAACACAUAUUAUGAUGUUCAACAAAAUUAUGAGAUGCAAAAGAAGUUGGUCCUACAGUGACCAGUUCAACAAAAUUAUGAGGGAAACAAAAGAUUUCUAUAUUGCUGGUGAAGAAUUUAGCUGCUCCUAAACAGAGACGGCAUCAUAAUCAACGAUCGCAGGGAUAUAAACCUUCUAACAGGUGAUGUCAGAAACUUACAGAUGCACUAAAUAGAAUUAUUUACUAUGUGCUAUUUUAAAGUAAUCUGGGAACAUUAUCCAAUAAGUUUUUUCUUGAGUAAGCAGCAAAAUGCAUGUCAUUUGUAUUAGGAGGAAAUGUCGAGAUGACGCGAAUCAUAAGAGCGACCCAAUGAAAACAAAGCAAGACAAAGCAAAGAAAAAUUAAAAAAGGAAGCCUGGAGCAAAUGAAACAAAAAGGGAAAACUGUACGGCUAGCUAUCCAUCACUGCAGAAAUAAGUUGAAGCAAGGAAAUAAAGCAUAGCACUAUAUUGGUUACCUUAAAAUGUAACCCAUCCUAUUAACGUUUUGAUUCUGUUCCACCGUUAAAGUUAUUGAGACAAAUAAAACUCAUGUUUGUCACUGUUUCACAAACUCAUAAUAUCCACUGAAGGAAAAGGGGCAAUAAUCAGUCAUUACCUGAAAGGU
rnacentral:lncRNA from 1 species